rnacentral:rRNA from 1 species
CCUACGGGAGGCAGCAGUAAGGAAUAUUGGUCAAUGGACGAAAGUCUGAACCAGCCAUGCCGCGUGAAGGAUUAAGGCCCUCUGGGUUGUAAACUUCUUUUAUCUGGGACGAAAAAAGGGUAUUCUUACUCACUUGACGGUACCAGAGGAAUAAGCACCGGCUAACUCCGUGCCAGCAGCCGCGGUAAUACGGAGGGUGCAAGCGUUAUCCGGAUUUACUGGGUUUAAAGGGUGCGUAGGUGGGCUUGUAAGUCAGUGGUGAAAUCUCCGGGCUUAACCCGGAAACUGCCAUUGAUACUAUAGGUCUUGAAUUAUCUGGAGGUAAGCGGAAUAUGUCAUGUAGCGGUGAAAUGCUUAGAUAUGACAUAGAACACCAAUUGCGAAGGCAGCUUACUACGGAUAUAUUGACACUGAGGCACGAAAGCGUGGGGAUCAAACAGGAUUAGAUACCCUGGUAGUCCACGCCCUAAACGAUGGAUACUCGACAUCAGCGAUACACUGUUGUGUCUGAGCGAAAGCAUUAGAUCCACCUGGAGUACGAUCGCAAGAUUGAAACUUCAAAUUGAAUUGACGGNNGNGAGNGCGAGACGACGACGAGGAGAGG